AGCCUUCUUGAGUCCUUCGAGUUGAGAGAAUGUUCAAACCCCUUUCUAGUGCUUUUAGGUAGAAUCUCCGAGCCUUUAAGUCACCAGAAAGGGUCCUUUGAUCUUCCAAGAGUCCAAGUCUUGUGUCUGAAGAGAGGUCUCAACUCUUUAGUGCUUUUAGGUGGAAAAAUCCAAGCCUUUAAGUCACCAAAAGGGUCCAAGUCUUGUGUCUCCCUUUUCCAAUGGAAUAGAAGGGGUAUUUAUAGGGUUCUCUGGAAAGUAGUCAUGUGCAAGGCACAUGAUUUCAGGGAAAUUCCAGAAAUACCCUUUAGUCCUUAGAAUAAUGCUCAUAUUGCCCUGUCCUUCUAGCCACCAAUCCAAUCCCUCAAUCAAUUCCCAAAACGAGCCGCCUCCACGAGUCUUCUGCCUCGGGACACGUGGAGGCUUAUCCCGGGUCUAGC
rnacentral:lncRNA from 1 species